CCCGCUGAGUUUAAGCAUAUCAAUAAGCGGAGGAAAAGAAACUAACAAGGAUUCCCCUAGUAACGGCGAGCGAAC
rnacentral:rRNA from 3 species